UGAAACUCCCUCCUGGCACAGGUUGAAAAAAAGCAGUGGUGACAAGUGUCCCCGUCCAGGGGAGUGCUGGUAGCAGGAGUGAGUGGGGUGUGUUUGUGUGUUACAAAGGCACUCGAGCAGUGCUUGGCAAUUUGAGGACCUACGACAUGUUUCUGACCCUGGAAUCGAUUAAAAACUCUCUAAACCUGCCCUGCCGUUGCUUUGACCUGGAAAGCAAAAGAAGGUACCGUUGCCUAGCAGGGCAGGAGCUGCCCAUUGCUCCAUGCCCUGUUGGAUGGCAUCCCUGCCGCUGGAGAGCAGGCUCUCCUGGAGCCAGAGUCAAUCCACGGGAACCAGGAGCCACAAGAAACAGUUAAAGAAACAAUUAGCCCAAAGGACGCAAGCGGUUUGUCUGCCCCUUCCAGCGGAGCCUCUCCCCAAGGGAGGGCAGGAGCCUCCAGAAGGAUGCACUUCCAGAAGCAGGCCUGGCCCACAGAAGAUGCAUUACAGAUGAAGUGCCAACAGUCUGUCAGGAAACAAGUGAAACAAUUUCUGUAAUGCUUCCUGCCAGGGUUGAAGAAGAAACCUCUGUAAUCUGAAGGUCAACAGUGACGGAAGACUUUCAUCUCUACCUUUAAAUAUGACUUAAAUCAGGAAGAAAUACAGUUUCUUCUCUUUGUACUAUGUUUUUAUGGUGUACCCUGGUGUAGUGUGUUUCUGUGAGACUUGAAGAGUGUGUGUCUUAACAGAAUGGGAUGAUGGUUAAUGCAGUGAUUCCUCCAAGGACAUCAAGCCUUCCAGCUGCUGUUUGAUUCUGAUGGUCUUACUGGUUGUCAUUUGGUGGAUAUUAGUUGAUUAUUGCCCAGCAAUUGGCUAACAUGUUUGUAGAAGUUUCAUGGAAGGAUCAGGGGACUCGAAGAGCAGAGCAAGUUAACUUCUUUUGGCAUAACACCAAUAAUGUAGCACUUUAACAAAGAAAAUAUGUUUCUAGGUAUAAGCAUGGUGAUUCUGUUGAGUGUCUCAGACUUCUUAAGUAAAAACUUGAUGAUGGCCACCUGAGAAGCAACUUCUAAGAAAAACAAAAGGGUGGAGUUCUAUGUGAAAAAUGCAUGUGCCUCAGCUAAAUGAAUAACUUCUGUCUCUCUGGGUCAAUCUGACAGUCCUUUGCACAAUAAUGAUGUAAACUUCAUUGCAAUGAAUUUAUAUGUGUGUUCUAGAUGUUACUGUAUUACUGGAGCAAGGAGAUGGGUACUUUUUUCUUUUUCUAAACACUGACCUCAAUAGGAUUUAUUGCAGAGACUGAGGGAAACACUGUUGUUGUCAACCUGCUUUGUGAAUGCCACUGGAGAGAAGGUUCAGAGUUUCCCAAGUGAUUCACAGAUGUCUUAUGGCUGGACGUUACUGUGGGGACCUCAGAGUCAUUUAAUUUCUCCCUUGGAGAGUGCUAUCCGUUCUUGUGUUCCAGCAGCCACUGAAACUCCUUCCCCUUGCUCCUCUGUCUGGCGUAAACUUAGAGAUGUGAAUUGCUUGUGCUUUUCCCUCCCUGUAAUAUUCCUUGGAUCUUAUUUUAAUGUUAUUUUAGUGUUGUUUUCUCUUAUUUUAAUUACUUAAAUUUUUAAGCUUUUCUCCCUGUUUCCUGCCAUUUUUUUCCCAUAAAUAAAGCGUGUUCUUCCAUUUCAUAGCU